rnacentral:lncRNA from 1 species
UGAAGCUGACAGAUCCCUUGGCUGUGGAGCACGAAUUUAUUGAAGUAUUCAAGUCAUUGAUGGGUGAAUGUGCUGAUGAAUUGCCUUGCAUUAAUACUGCUAUUGUUAAGGAAGGACACUGUCUGACCUUAUCACAGCAAAGUCACUUAUUCAGGAUGUUACUAUGGAAGAAAUCACUGAAGCUGUUAAGGAUAUGCCUAAAGACAAAGCACCAGAUGUAGAUGGCUUCCCUGUGGAGUUCUUUACUAGCAAC